AGUUUGAGUGACAGGUGGUGGUUAUCAUAGGUGAUUGAUUAUGGAAACGUUUCAACUUCAACCCAUAACAGGUAAUCCCUAAGCUUAGAUGGUUUGGAGCUGCGAGGGACUCGGAGAUGGCCACACUACUGUUUCUGUUUCUUUUAAUUGCAAUAAGUAGCCGAUUUAUUUCUUUAUAAGUUUUAUCUUAUUAAUAUUAUUAUUUGGUUUUGGGUUGUAAUAAGACAA